AUCCACUACAUCUGCAUGUGAUGAUAUCAUUCACAAGUUGCAUCGGACUCGGGACUACUCUAGAACCCUCGUUGGUUUUCCUUAGAGCUGCUGCAUGAUUUCAUGUUUUACCAUUGGAAUUUCCUCGAAGAAUGGAAUACCUGUGUAUUAUGCAGGAGCUACUUGGCGCUCGUGGGAAGGUUCUCUUCUCGUUGGCAGUGGGAAUUCUGCUGUCUGCUGGAUUUGCCGCAAUGGCACCAUUACCGUCCAAUGAAGAGCUAACAUUAUUGUGCCACUUGGAUUCAUCCAUGCCCGUUGCUGAUCAAAGAGAGGCACUGGCGGACUGUCUUAUGGGCAUCGGCACCAGCUUCCGGUGACUUGCGGAUGCGAUCCACGCCGACACUCCAACGCCGUCCAACAGUACAAUGAUCAGCACGAAUACUUCUUCGACGCCGCUAAGCCUACUCACCGUCACAACAGUUCCCACCAUGGCCACUCCGUCGCCCCAGCUGAUUCAUCCAGACCGUGAAACCAGUCCGCCACCCUCGCCAAAGAUCUCCUGGCUGCGUUCCAUCGUCCAGUACAUGAGGCAAGUAGCCGACCGUCAUCCGUUCUUCGCGACCAUUACCGGCUUUGCCCUCGCCUCGGCAACCAUGUUUUGUUUAACGGUGCUGAUUUUGCCGCGCGUUUUCGAGGCCCUGGAAAAACGCGGCCCAUGUGGCCGGGUUGUGCUGGUUCUGUGGCUGCUGCUCGCCAUUGCGUUGGGUGCGUGGAUGGUUGAUAGUCUCUGGCAGGCGCUGUACUGAUGGGUGACGAGAAUAUUUGGUUGGAAUUCAAUAUUUACUGGAAAUUAUGCCAUUGGCUUACAAUUAGUGUAUUCAGUUAAAGUGUGUCUGCGCCAAAAUACCGUAUCCGAACAAAACUUUUGCCGCUUGUAAUCUGUAAAGUAUUGCAAAGUACGGCAUUCUCAGUUUGAAACAAUGUGCGUUUAAUGCUUUUCUGCAGUGCAUGUGUGCAAUAGAUAUCUUUUCAUUAAGUUUACCGUUAUUUACUGGAUGGUUU